AAAUUUAGUAGCUGAUUUGGACAUCGUUGAGUUCCAAUUAUAGUUAGAUUGGAUUAAAACCAACUGGUUCCUUAGUAGGAGACAAAAUGAUUACCAAUGGACGGUUUUUAUAGAGGUGAUAACUGGGUGUGAAGGGCUAUAAAUAGUAGGGAAAUGAAUUCCUGGGGGAAUUAUUCUCAACCCUAUUUUGUUCUUUCUAUUAUCUUCUUCAGUUACUCUAAAGAAGAAGAAGAUAAGAGAGCUCUACAUAGAGUAAUAUUCGUGAAGAUUGAGUUAAG
rnacentral:lncRNA from 1 species